rnacentral:siRNA from 1 species
UGAAAGGAUUUGAGGCAGUC